GUAGGGUGCGAGCGUUAAUCGGAAUUACUGGGCGUAAAGCGUGCGCAGGCGGUUAUGUAAGACAGAUGUGAAAUCCCCGGGCUCAACCUGGGAACUGCAUUUGUGACUGCAUGGCUAGAGUACGGUAGAGGGGGAUGGAAUUCCGCGUGUAGAAGUGAAAUGCGUAGAUAUGCGGAGGAACACCGAUGGCGAAGGCAAUCCCCUGGACCUGUACUGACGCUCAUGCACGAAAGCGUGGGGAGCAAACAGGAUUAGAUACCCUGGUAGUCCACGCCCCUAAACGAUGUCAACUGGUUGUUGGGAAUUAGUUUUCUCAGUAACGAAGCUAACGCGUGAAGUUGACCGCCUGGGAGUACGGCCGCAAGGUUG
rnacentral:rRNA from 1 species